UAUUAGUUAGUUACAAUAGCUGGUGGGAGUGAAGAAAAUAGAGCAGUCGCUAUAUAUAACGAGUACAAGCACUCCUCAGUUGGCUGUUGGAGAAGGCGCGAGAGAGAAGGUCGCGGGAAAAAAAAAGAGUGUGCAUGGCAUCUGGGUUUUGUCUUUUGUUUUGUCCUUGUGACUAUACAAGACUGAGUUUUGUAGUGGAGAAAAAUGGCAAUAACACUGAACAAUGGAUUCAAGAUGCUAAUAAUUGGCUUAGGUGUAUGGCGGAUGGAAGGGAAAGAAAUCAGAAACCUCAUUAUUAAUCCUAUUAAGCUUGGCUACCGUCAUUUUGAUUGUGCAGCUGAUCACAAGAGUGAAGCAAUAAUAGGGGAGGUGUUAGCCGAAGUAUUCAAAACAGGGCUUGCUUAGAGGGAGGAUCUUAGGUUUAGUUUAAUCACAGAUUUUAACACUCGCAUGAUCUCAUUCAACCACAACAGCAACCGCAAUAUCAAACAAGCUUUAAGAUACUGUUUGGUAAUGUGGCUGCGGGUAAGAUUCACCCGCAGCCACACAUUUUAAUAUUUGAUAAAGGAAACAAAACUGAUUUUGCUUGGUAGGGCCCAAUAAUUUUUGCUGCCUAGCCACAGGAUUGGAGAAGCAGCAUUUUGCUACUUCUCGUGGUUAUUUUUAGGAAUAGUGGAGUCAUGCUCCACUAUC